rnacentral:rRNA from 1 species
CGCGUAGGCGGCUCGUGAAGUCGGGUGUGAAAGCCCGGGGCUCAACCCCGGAACGGCAUCCGAUACUGGCGGGCUUGAGACCGGGAGAGGAGGGUGGAAUACCCAGUGUAGAGGUGAAAUUCGUAGAUAUUGGGUGGAACACCGGUGGCGAAAGCGGCUCUCUGGCCCGGAUCUGACGCUGAGGCGCGAAAGCGUGGGGAGGCAAACA